AUUUUUAUUUCCCAGUCAGCCCCGACAUCAAGAAGCGGUUGCAGCAGCUCGAGGGUGCUGAAGGAAAAUCCCUGGAGAAACUGGUAAGCGUGGCCACCCGAGUAUAUCAUACAAGGGAAAAAGUUCAAGAGACCAAACAGACCCCCAGGUUCGCCUAACAUUGGGAGGAACCGCCUAUUCUUGUCUUUUGGAUUCAGGGGCUGCACUUUCUACUGUUACUGCCAAGCCGGAGAGAGGAAGCCUUACAGAUAAGAGCAUUCCGAUGACAAAAUCAUUCUUCGGUUGCCUGAAACCCAACUUCCCCAGCCGUGUGCUGUUCUAACCCAAGUUUCAAAGGACCCGAUCCUGUCUGCGGACCCGAUCCUACCUGAGCGACUCAGACAGGAGGUAAACAUCUCCCUGUGGGCCACUUCAAGGGCAGACUUGGGUACUCUCCAGACAGAGCCAGUGCAUAUAACCCUGAAGCCAGGCAUUAAAAUUCCUCGGAUUCGUCAGUAUCCCAUCCCCCAAGAAGCUCUGCUUGGCCUCCGGAGUCUUAUCACCACAUUCCUGCGGUUGGGAGUGCUGGUUCACACCAAGUCUCCUUUCAAUACUCCCAUUCUGCCAGU